rnacentral:ribozyme from 1 species
UCAAUAACUCCGCCUGUAGCUCUUAUAGGGUUGCUGCCGGUCCCAAGCCCGGAUAAAGGAGGAGGGUUGG